UUUUCACGCUUAUGACAUCACAUUGAGCAUAGCUCGACCGUGUGGACGGAGCUUGAGGGAAUCUCUUUAAUACAGUACUGGAUAGGUGUACUAUGGACUUAGCAGAAGUGAGCGCGGAACGAAAGAUUAGAGAGACCAAGUCUAGCAAGAGAAACCAACGGAAGGAAAAAGUGAUUAUGCGCAUGGUGAUGAGCGCCGUGCCCUACUUUUUGCUAUGCAUGGUGUUCUGGGUAUUCCUCCGCCUGGCGUGGAGGUGUCUCACGUUCCCCUUGGAGCAACGAAGGCUCAUAAAGCAAGAAGAGGAGAAGGAAAAGGAGAAGAAAAAGAAAUAAUAUGCUACGAGUCAGUUCGAAUAUAUAAAUAUAUAUAGAUGCCGGUAUAUAAUAUGUUGACAAAAGUUCUUCAUAGCCUUCUUCGAUGUUGAUAUUCAUAUAAAUAUAGUAUAUAGUUUAUGGAAUUUUAUUACAAGCAUUGUAUAUUUUCAACAAAAUACUGUAGUUUGAUUCUUUACGAAUAAUUAGAGUCUAUUGUUUUUACUUUUACAAUUGUACUAACGUAAUUGUACGUAACAUAAAAACACUUUUCAAAUUGUCGUGUACUUUUCUGCGAAAGUGCUCCUUCCUGAUAGAACAGUAUGGACGACCCUUUGCAACGUAUGAAAUGAAUCGACAAAGUAGUACCACCUGCAAAAACUCAGGUCACUUCAUUGAUAACAUGGUCGUGAUUAAAAUCAUGCCAAUGAAGGUUCUUGCUCACAAUAUACUGGUCGACAAACUUAAAAAUUAAAAUCAGGGUUUUACAACUGAUAAAAAAAACUUUUUUAAAAAAAUCAAAAUUAUAACCAAAUGUAACACAGGCCUUUUUAACCCUCUCCUUGCUGUUUUUCCAAAUCCAGCAGUGAUUCGUGAUUUGUUCUUGGUAUUGACAUCGCAUUUCCAUAACAUUAAUUGCAAACAUAAUACAAUGCUGAUGUUGUCGAAAGUCCUAAUGUACCAAUUCACUAAAUAAGUUAUUUAUAACAACACAUUUAACCGUUCAAAAAUUAUAUAUACAGGAAUCCGUCCACAAAUAGUUACACAACACCUUUAUGAUAAGACAGUGCAUCUGUAAAUUCUCAACUCGAAUGUCCUACAGAAAAUCUUGCAAAUGAAUGCACUCCUCAUCCGGUUACACAUGUGCAUGCUUGCGUUUGUUAUACAGUAUAGACCAAAGAAAUGUGAGCUGAACUGGUAUUUUGUUUUCAUUAACAAUCUGGUAGUGCUACACUUACACAAGAUGAACCAACGUCCACUGGUACUAAUUUUCCGGAAUAAUAAUAACAGGAAUAGCAUAUGCAUGAUAACAAAAGUCACGCAAUACAAGCAAAUGGGUCCCCACUUGCUUACUGAUUCACAGUUCCUACAUUUUUCUCUCGGACUCCUCACAGUUUCCCUCCUUCCUUUACGGUGUAACGAAGAGCAAAGUUAAAAUUGUGACUGUUGAAUGUUUCAACACGUACGUUUGUGUCUGUGUUUGUGUGUGUGAUAGAGAGAGAGAAUCGUUCAAGUGUACCUAUCGACAUAACAAUUGUUAUUCUCGUUCCUCAAACUAAAGGAGAAUAGCGAGAUGGUCUAAAAACCUCAUGAAUGAAGUGCUUUGGCGAAAGAAUCUUGGGAGCGCACCAAUAUCACCUCUGUAGACGGAGUCACCCAAAAUGUUCCACAGAAGCGCAUGGGACGAGUGUGUUGUUCAUCUGUUUGUUCUUGUUGCGGAAGAUGUUGAGUAGGGUCAAAUGUUUUUAUUUCCACUUACUUGUUGAACAGAACGAUUCUUCCGUCAGCCUAUAACCAUUUAAGUCUUUGUUGUUAUUGUUGGUUCUGUAAAACUAAUGUGGUUGAUGUCAUAGGAUGUAAGUCUCGGAAUCCAAAAUAAAAUAAUCGAAUCUG